rnacentral:rRNA from 1 species
GACAGAGGAUGCAAGCGUUAUCCGGAAUGAUUGGGCGUAAGCGUGCGCGAUGGACGGUUUGUAAGUCUGUCGAUCGGAAUCCCGGCUCAACCUGGGAAUUGCGAUGGAGACUGUAAGGCUAGAAUCUGGCAGAGGGGGGUAGAAUUCCACGUGUAGCAGUGAAAUGCGUAGAGAUGUGGAGGAACACCGAUGGCGAAGGCAGCCCCCUGGGUCAAGAUUGACGCUCAUGCACGAAAGCGUGGGGAGCAAACAGG